rnacentral:lncRNA from 1 species
GCUCUGAAAUACAUUGGGAAUAAAGUGCGGCGACAGCGCGUGUGAGGAGGGCCCAAGAAGACCAAGAUGGAGGACGCUAGAGAGCUUCCCUCAUCCUCCCUCAUGUACCUGAGCUGAAGAAGAUAUCAGACCAGAUCAUCCCCAAGCAGCCCAGUUCCACAUAGUCAAAUGCAUGCGGAAGGACCAGAUCACCAACGGCAUGGUCAACGCCAUCUCCGCCGUAACAUCCUGGGUGUGAUCUGUGACCACCAAAGGCUGGUGUACACCUUCAGACUGAUGCGCAGGGCCGGCUUCAUCAACGAGUUUGUGUCCAUCUCCACCUUCCUGACCGACUGCUGUGUCUACAUCUCUUUAUGACUCAGCCCGGGUUCUGCACCAAAACGACCGUACAUCAUUGUGAAGGUAGAGCAGCCAAUGGUCAAGAACAAGCACAUCAAGGAGUUGACCCAGGAGUUGACCCAGAACCUUUGAGGAGCCUGGUGGAAUACCUGGAUGUGAACGAGGAGAACGACUGUCAGAUCGCCCUCUAUGAGCCCAUGAUUAAUAUGGUUCGGGAAGGUGCCUGGUCUACAAAAAAGCCAAGUGCACAUUGA